rnacentral:tRNA from 1 species
GGGCCUGUAGCUCAGUUGGUCAGAGCGUCCGACUCAUAAUCGGCUGGUCGUGGGUUCAAGUCCCGCCGGGCCCACCA